CGAGGGGCAGCAUGACGAUAGCUUGCUAUUGUUGAUGGCGACCGGCGCACGGGUGAGUAACGCGUAUCCAACCUGCCCUUGUCCAUCGGAUAACCCGUCGAAAGGCGGCCUAACACGAUAUGCAGUCCACAGAAGGCAUCUGACGCGGACGAAAUGUGAAGGAGAAGGAUGGGGAUGCGUCUGAUUAGCUUGUUGGCGGGGUAACGGCCCACCAAGGCGACGAUCAGUAGGGGUUCUGAGAGGAAGGUCCCCCACAUUGGAACUGAGACACGGUCCAAACUCCUACGGGAGGCAGCAGUGAGGAAUAUUGGUCAAUGGGCGAGAGCCUGAACCAGCCAAGUAGCGUGCAGGAAGACGGCCCUAUGGGUUGUAAACUGCUUUUAUGCGGGGAUAAAGUGAGCCACGUGUGGCUUAUUGCAGGUACCGCAUGAAUAAGGACCGGCUAAUUCCGUGCCAGCAGCCGCGGUAAUACGGAAGGUCCGGGCGUUAUCCGGAUUUAUUGGGUUUAAAGGGAGCGUAGGCCGUCUGAUAAGCGUGUUGUGAAAUGUCGGGGCUCAACCUGGGCAUUGCAGCGCGAACUGUCAGACUUGAGUGCGCGGGAAGUAGGCGGAAUUCGUCGUGUAGCGGUGAAAUGCUUAGAUAUGACGAAGAACUCCGAUUGCGAAGGCAGCCUGCUGUAGCGCAACUGACGCUGAAGCUCGAAAGCGUGGGUAUCGAACAGG
rnacentral:rRNA from 1 species